GAAUAACUCAAUGGUAGAGUAGCGGUAUCGUAAACCGAAGGUUGCAGGUUCAAAUCCUGUUUCU
rnacentral:tRNA from 1 species